GCGGCUGAGGGGUGUACGCUGUUCUUAUAGGACGGCCGUUAAACACCGACAUCAGAGUCUGGUUUACUGAAAGAGACGUGACGGGGGGGGGCAACGAUGCGCGGGCGUGAUGAAGGGCGUGCGAGGGUGCGUGUCGCACCCCCCUGCACAUGGAGAAGGGGCGGGGUCUGCUGAGGACACGGCGAGUGUUUACGACAUGGGAAGAUGAAUCAGAGAAUGUCGAUGAAUGUAAGGUGUGUUGAAGACGCAUGCGCAGAGCUACCCCGACUAGCAGGUCAACGGAUCAGACUCCGGAUACCGUCACUAGGCAGAACCACACACCGCAGCCAAUCAGAAGGGUUCGUCCCGGAAGGACCCGGCAACACAGCCCCACUCGUGGCGGGGCCUCAGGGGACCGGACCUGGGCCCUGUUCCCCCGAGGCCACCAGCAGCAAGCAGCACCCUGAGGCCCCCAGCAGCACCCUGAGGCCCCCAGCAGCACCCUGAGGCCCCCAGCAGCACCCUGAGGCCCCCAGCAGCACCCUGAGGCUCCCAGCAACACCCUGAGGCCCCCAGCAGCACCCUGAGGCUGAGAGCUGAGAUAAACCCAUCCUUAAUGCCUGAUUGGAUGAAAAGCCGAGAGGGGGAGGAGCAGCGAGCGGUCAGGAGGACCUGAGGAGACCUGAGGAAAGCGUAACCACCUGCUGCAUGCAGAGCAACCAGCAGAGCAGGAAGUAGAACUGCUGAGAUUUCAAAUGACCUGUCACACCUGAGUGACAGCGCUCCAGGUAUGCCCAGAGAUCGGCCAAUCCAGGCCAAGUAGGAAGUGGGUGCUAUUGAAGCCAGAGAGAAUGAUAUAUACUCUAACCAGGAUGUCAUCCCUCUCCUCUCUCCUCCCUCCUCUCCUCUCCUCUCUCCUCCCUCCUCUCCUCUCCUCUCCUCUCUCCCUCUCUUCUCUCUCCUCCCUUCCUCCUCUCCCCCCCCUCCCCCUCUCUCCUCCUUCACCCUCUUCUGGAGAGGGCGAAUAUAGAGUGAAUACAAUUUAUAAAAACUACGAAGAAAAUGUAUACAGUUCACCAGCAGAUGGCAGUAUGCACACAUGCAUAUUUAUGCGUGUGUGUGUGCAUGUGUGUGUGUAUGUUUGUGUGAAAGAGAGAAUCCCUGACUGGCUAAGAGAGCGGUAACAUCAUUGACUUAAGCCUAAACAUUAAAGAGGUCAGAGGUCAAGUUUGUGAUUGAAGGGUGUGGAAUGCUGUCGCUUUGGGCCAGCUUAAGGUCACAGGGUUGACUUUUAGCUGAUGCUAGCUGGCACGCUAACUAGAGGGCAGGCUAAGUAGCGGGCAGGCUAACUAGCGGGCAGGCUAACUAGCGGGCAGGCUAACUAGCGGGCAGGCUAGGCCCACUAGGUUUCCUGUGGGCCUAAGGAGGUCCGACCCUGCAGUGCCUUGCUCCGUGGUGGGGGCAGGGAUACCUUCCAGUUGACUCUGGAAUCCGGGGAGCUCCGAGGUGUCCCUGGGUUUACGGUAACCCCGGGCAGCGGUCUCCGCGGCGACCGUCUCCCCGGGGUGAGCCUUGACGGAGCUGUCAGAGAACAUUCCAGAACGGCUCAGACGUCGGAACCGUCCUCCUCCUGUAGACCUGUACAGACCGGCUCACACACACACACACACACACACC